rnacentral:rRNA from 1 species
CGCACGCCUCCUUCAAACCCUCCACACACCUUCUGUGCACCUUCAUGAGAUCGCGUGGGAGUCUCCUUUCUCCUCGUGAUCUGACCCUCUUUGACUCUGUAAGAGUGAAGGAACGUAAAGAUCGUAACGAAAAAUAACUUUCAACAACGGAUCUCUUGGUUCUCGCAUCGAUGAAGAACGCAGCGAAAUGCGAUAAGUAAUGUGAAUUGCAGAAUUCAGUGAAUCAUCGAAUCUUUGAACGCACCUUGCGCUCCUCGGCAUUCCGAGGAGCAUGCCCGUUCGAGCGUCAUGAAAAUCUCUCGACAAAGGGAAAAACCUCUUUGUCGGACUUGGACCAUGCCGGGGUCUCUCUCGGCCGGUCUCAAAGGCAUCAGCAGGAUCCCCUCCUCGAUCUCCGAGUCGACGUGAUAAUGACGUCGUCGCCGUCGGGGUCGCCUUUUCGGGAGGGGCCGCUUCCAACCUGUCCCCUUAGGGAUGAUA